rnacentral:lncRNA from 1 species
AUGUGCAAAAAUAAAGCCUCUCUUGACAGCAGUGGGGCGGCCGCUUUCCGAAACAGGGCCUGUGGGCCCCGCCGUUUAGGGGCCCACGGAGGGUGGGAAGGAACCCCUCCGGGGGUCCCUUGUGAGCCCAGAGGCUUCUGGCAGACCCUGAUUUUGGCAAGAAGGAAGAGCGGAGGAAGGAAGCUCAGGCUCUCUGUUGUGGGGCAGCCAUGGCUGGAGAGCGGCCCCCCACUGCCCCAUGGAGAGUGUCCACGCGGCUCUCGCAGGUCUCCUCCCCGCAGCUGGGCACCCCGUCCCCUUCCGGCAAAGCCAUCUCCUCCUCCCAGAAGCACAGCAAAAAGGCCCUGAAGCAGGUAAGGGGGACAGGUGGGCUGCCACCUUCGGCUGACCUUGACCUCCUUCCAUGGUUGGUUGCAAUAUCGAGAAGAUCCUGUCUCACAACCUACGGUGAGGCAAACAACAAAACCAGCAUUGUAAGCAAGAACUAGCUGUGCCCGGCCUUGUGUUGCUGUGGCUUAUGGGAAUGCUUUGUUGGCCAGGUGGAAUAGCAGUGAAUAGCCUUGCAGCCUCAAAGCCUGGCCGUUUUCUUCUUAUGGGAAUCCUUGUUUGGUGAGCUGAAAUACAAAGGAAUAGGCUUGCUGUUUGGAAGGCUGGGUACUUGUGUUCUAAGUGAAUGUUUUUGCUGUUGUUUUUUUUUUUUUUUGCAAUGAAUAGCCUCACUAUUUCAAAGCUUGGCUGCUUGCUACCAAGUUUAAUCCUUUGUUGGUCUGGUUGAAUUGCACCGAAUAGCCUUGCAGCUUCAAUGCCUGGCUGUGUUAUACCUAGGGGAAUCCUUGUUUGGCGAGCUGGAGUAGCACCCUCAAUCAAAGAAGCCUGGCUACUUCCUUUGUAGGGGAAUCCUUGUUUGGCCAGCUUGAACUGCACUGAAUAGUCUUGCAACUUAAAAGCUUGGCCGCUUUCUACAUAGGGGCAUCCUUGCUAGGCCAGGUUGAAUGGGACGGAGUAGCCUCGUUGCUUCAAAGCCUGGUGGUUUUUCACCUAGGGGAAAUCUUGGUUGGCCAGGUUGAAUAGCAUUGAAUGGCCUUGCUGCUUGCAAGCCUGGCCGCUUUCUACCUUGUGGAAUCCUUGGUUGGCCGGGUUGAAUAGCAAUGAAUAGUCUCGGUGCGGCAGGUAUGAGUGCUGCAAUUAGCCACCUUGAUUAGCAUUUAAUGGCCUUGCAGUUUCAAAUCUUUGCUGCUUCCUGCCUGGGGGAAUCCUUUGUUGGGAGGUGUUAGCUGGCCCUGAUGGUUUCCUUUCUGGAAUUUCCAGUUUCCCUGUUUUCAGAGUGUUGCUCUUAAUUUCU